UAAAAUAAAAAUAUUUAUAGAAAUAUUUACAUAAAUAUAUGCAAUAAAAUAUAUUCUGAAAUUUUUUUUGGCCACAAAAAUUUUGUAACGGAAAUUCCGUUACAAAUGAUCAGUCUUUAUUUUUUUGUAUUUGUAACGGAUUUGAGUAUUUAUAACGGAAAUUUGAUGACGACCAAAGUUAACGGAAUUUCCGUUACAAAUGACAUUUUUCAUGGAAUUUCCGUUAACUUUGUUCGUCCAAACUGCCUACAUUUUUCUGUAGUGCUCUCAAAAAUUAUCAACCCCCUCUCUUGUUGGACCAGGGAAGGUAUUUAUAGAGAUCCUCCGUCGGCCCAAGCCCGUUGCUCGGGCAAAUAGGCUUGUGGUCUGUUCGGCCCGUGGACCAUUUGAAUGGACCUCAGUACCAACAGUAACCUAAGCGAAAAAUACCAUAUGAGAAACUGAAAUUGAUUUGUGUUGUGUAUUGAAUCGCACAUUAUUAUUUAUACAUAAAAAUAUUAACUAAAUCCUAACCGAUUAACUAUAUUAGUAAAACACACUUGGAUGUUACACGUGUGCAGUGGCGUAUCCAGGAUUCCACAACAGGGGGGCAAAAUUCGUCGAAGGCGAAAAAAAAAAUUUACUAAUUUAAAAACCUAUAAAAAUUUUGGCACGACCUAUUCAUAAAAUCGAUUAUGAAAACCUAUAAAAAUUCAAUACAUUCAUUUCAUAAUUAAUAUUCAAUACAUUAAUUAAUAUUCAAAUUAAAAAUAAAUACAUUCAUUCAAUUAAUAAUAAAAAUUUCAAAUACAAUUUACAUUACUUCAAUGUUCUACGACGAGGACACAUAUCAUUAAAUAUUUGUAAAAUAACUUCGUUGUCUAUAGUUUUAAAAAUAUCUUUCUCGAUAUAUGUUACUAAACAAUCAUUCAUCAAACUAACACCAAAGCGAUUUCUGAGACGAGUUUUAACGAUAUGCAUUGCUGAAAAACUACGCUCAACUGAUGCAGUUGUAACUGGUAAUAUCAACGCUAAUUUGAUCAGGAAAUAAACCAAGGGAUAACCAAUAUCCAUCUUACACUCUACCAAUUCAUGUGCUAGACCACCAAUACCGAUAGACAGAAGCAAAAUGAAGCAACUUCUCUAUAUCGAAAGCCUCAAAAGAAGAAUAUGGAUCAAGACAAUGGAUACACAGUAGUAACUCUGUGUUAGUCUCAACGGAGGGAAAACUGGAGUCUGGAGAAGAGAUUUCCACCAAGUUGUGCAGCAAGGCAGCAACAACAGACGACAGUGAAGAAUCUAAGAAGAAAGUAUUAAGAUUUAAGAAAUUCAGGUUUGGGGGAGAACGGGGGAUAAGGGGGGAGAAGAAUAAAAUAUUUUAAAAUUUAUAUAUUAGGGAUUUGUGAAAUGGGGAGAGAAAAAUAAAAUAUUGUAAAUUUUAUAUAACAACUCUUAAAAAAUAUUAAUAUAUUGUAAAAUUACAUUUAACCCUCUAUAAUUUUUUUUAUUACAUAUAGGUCCUUGACUUUUUUCCAACAUUUAGGGGGGGCACUUGCCCUCCCUUGUAUCAAGAAACAGAAUUUAUUUGCAAGACUGUAUGAUUAUACUAUGAGAUAAGGCAGUAACCAAAUCGCACAAUAACACAAUAGAAACUUAUUUAUUUAUUUACUUGGAACAGGAAUGAAAUAACAGAAAUUUGAACAUAAUAAAAUGACAAGCAUUAGUUCUAAAUCUGUUUGAAACAGAAUUUCUGUAUGGAAUUGAUUUCAAGAUGAAACUAAGAAUCAAUGGAAUUACGAAAAUGAUUUAUUAAUCUAACAGGGAAUUGAUUUUCAAAAGAAACUUUUAAAGAAACAUUGAAUUAAAGAAAUUGAAACAAAUUGUCUAAAGAAAGUUAACUAAACUAAACAAAUUGAAACGGACUUGAAUCCAAUAGAUUUGUAGAAUAGAUUUGCAUACAACGAUAGAAAACACAUUUACAGUUUACAACAGAAAUUAAAAAUGAAUUUUGAAGAGAUUACUUGAUUCUGGAAAUUAAAACAGGAAGAUGACGAAACAAAAAUUUAACACGAUCUGGAAUGAUACCUGAUAAAUGAGAACAGCAAACACAAGAAAUUACCGGAUUGAAACAGAAAAGAAAUCCAAGCACUGAGAACGAUUUGAAAAGAGCAGGAAAUUGUAAACGCACAAAUGGAAAAAUAAUUUUCCGAUGCUCUCCAAACUGCCUGUCCCGUUUCUUAUAUACCUUGUAAUCUGUUAUCUUUGUUUUAAUUUAAUUGGACCCCUUGUUUUCAGGUAUCGGAUCCGGGUCAUGCAUUCCUAAUUUCAAAUAUUCUGAAUUAGGUGGUUGGACCAUGACUGCCUGCUCCUUGAUAUUUUACACCUUGCCCCCCUGGAUACGCCCGUCCAAUAGUCUCGACAUCAAAUUUGAGUGCAUUGCAUGGGGAGCCGACGAGGCCGGAUAUCUCUUAGUGGUGAAUAAAUUUUGUCAAUUCUUACAGUAACCAACGACUACGAAUUGGGCAGCAGUCAAACAUGUAUUACGAUUCUUACAUGGUAUCCAACACUUUGGUUUGCUUUUUAGUCCCACGACAAGGUUUAAUUUAAAGGUAUAUACAUACGUUGAAUAGAAUGGUUGUACGGAUGAUCCGAAAAGCACCUGUAGCUAUGCGAUGUUCUUUGGAAACAAUCUCAUUUCAUGGUCAACAAAAACAACCCACCCACCGUUGCUAGAUCAUCGACGGAGGUGGAAUUUCGGAUUGUAGCAGAUUCUGCAGAAGAAAUAAUUUGGGUACAAAAUCUUCUACAUGAGAUAGGUUUUGCAUGCAUGACAAACCCAAAGAUAUAUGGAUAGAUUAUUUGGGAGCUAAGUACUUAGGUCAAAAUAUGGUUUUUCAUUCAAGGAUGAAGCAUAUGGCCAUUAAUUUCAAUUUGUUAAAGAGCAAAUUAAAAAGGGAUAUCUAACCAAUAACCAUUCAUCUAAUAGACAGGGUUCUAGAGGAAGGAAACAUUAUUAAUGAUGUCCGCGUACAACUGGAGCUGGACAUGGAGGAGAGCACGGAAGAGCCGGGCGAAACUGAAGCUGAGGGCGGCAAGAUGGAGAGCGCACGACCAGUCAGGAAGAAGGUGUUAUUGUCGCACCUAAAGGGAUAUGAACUUAAUUGAAAUUCCUUUGAGUGUUAGUUAGGUUUGAUUAGCAUAUGAUGCAGGACCAUUUUAUUUAAUGUAUUCCCAAAAACGUGUAGCCUUAUAAAAGGCAAACCAUUAUGUUUUAGUAAUUAAUUAAUCAUUUAAGUAAAACUUAAAAACGGAACUGGGUUGAAGCAACCUUAGUCCAGAAUACUGUUCCAUUGCAGCCGUCCACCCUGUUUUUCCUCAUCGUUCCUCAAGUAUUGUCCAUCAUCAUCACAUUUCAACAAGGGAACAAUUAACAGAUAGAUUCACGAAGCCUUUGAUUCCUAGAAAUCCGAGAUAAACUAGGUAUGUAUUUAAGGAAUUAGCAAGAUAAUCAGUGCAAUUAAAUAUCUGUAUAUUUGACAUACUGAACUCAGGACUAAAAUGAGAUUUUUAAUAAAUUCAGGACUAAGAAAUAAUUGUUUUUAAGAUAUCUUAUGCAUGCAAGGCAAUGAACUCACCAAAUAAAUAUCAAGGGAGUCGAAGGGGUUGGGUGUAAUAUUUUAAAUAAAAUGAAUGGGCCAAUGUUGGAUGGGCUGAAAUAUAAUGGGCCACAUUUAUUUUAUUUCAAUUGAAAACUAAAAGUGCAAUUAACUUUUGAAUUAAUUGAAAUUAAUCUUUUGCUAAUCAUCUCGCAUUACCUAACUCUUUAAGCAACGUGUUGAUACCAGGGCCCAUCCAGACGGACCCCGGACCGAACAGGCCUGCCAGGCCCAGUAGGCCCAAUGAGGUAGGCUAUAAAUACCUCCCCAAGUGCAACAGGGAAAGGGGUUGAUAAUUAAAGAAGUCGACACCAGAGAGCUGUGUGUGUGAGCCCCCUAGCGCGAGCCCCCACACCAUCAGUGGUGAACCUGACGUGAAUCGAACACGCAACCAGAGAAGAGGAGAAAAUGGUCGGAAGGAGCGAGUAUCGUGUGGGAGAGAGCUCGGGACACCGAAGGGGGAAGGAACAACGCGUGGAGGAGACCUCCCCAACCACCCCUAGGGAGGAGUACCUGAGAGAGUCAGAGGACUCAGACAGGACUGAGCCAUAUCGCUCGCAUAGGAAGCAGACCGCGAUCUGGGCACUCGAAGCCCAGGAGGCGGCCUGGCGUAAAAAGAAGGCCGAAAAGGACGAAGCGACCCGGCGCGAAGGGAGGGCCGGGGUCGAGGAGGCAGCCGCCCGGAAAGAGAAGGAGAAACAUCGGCGGGGAAGGCGGAGCAGGUCCCUGACCCCUACCCGAAGAAGAGAACGCCGCAGGAGGAAGGACUCCGAAAAUGCGAGGCUCUCAGCGAUGGUCUCCGCGCUGCAGGACAGCCAACUGCGGCUGCAGGAGAAACUCCGCCAGCUGAUCGCAGACCGGCAGACGCUGAAGUUUGACGGAGCGGGAGGCGGAGCAGCAAUCGGAGAACCCGGAAAUGGAGUAGUCGUACCAGUAACCGGGGCCAGAGGCGGAGAAGCUUUGGCGCAGCACCUGCUGGAGGGUGAAUACCCCGCGGGCUGGCGGACGCCCAAGAUCCCCGCGUACAAGGGGGACACCGACCUGGAUGACCACUUGCACUCGUUCAAAACUAAUAUGGAGGAUAGAGCGGGUCGGAAGGACAUAUGGUGCCAGAUGUUCCGAAGGGCACUAACGGGGGACGCGAUAGCGUGGUACAGAACUCUCCCCGUUGGAUCGGUCCACACUUUCGAAGACCUUGACAAAACGUUCCUAGAGGCUUUCGCCCACAAGCGAAAGAGGCCCAAGAACCAAGCGUGCCUCAGCGCCACGAUACAGGGGGAUUUCGAAAGCACGUGGGCGUACAUGGAUUGGUUCGCGGGCUAACAGAAAACGUGAUCCAGUACGCCUCAGGCCUACCUUCUUUGCGGUGGACCUCGUACGGAUACUACCAAAGACAUUCACAGAGGCCAUGGAGAGGUCCCACGGGGAAGCCAAUGUGGAGGAAUACUUGGGAGAGAGAACGCAGGAGUUCAACAAACGCCAACAAAAGCCCAAGGGACCCCCAGCCGGAGACGGAGGGCACCAGCAGCAACAACCGAAGGCCCCGGAACACCGGGAGCAGCGGCAUGCAAGGCCCCAGCGGCCAUUGGUGGGGGCCAUCGAGAUGUGGGACUGACCCCGGCUGCUAACCAGAGGCAGGUUUUCCUCACCUUAGGAGGGGUGGGGAACCUCCCCCCAGCGAGGCCCAUGAGGAAGGACUCAGCAAGAUACAGGGACGAGAGCAGAUUCUGCGAGUACCACUAAGACAAGGGUCAUACAACUGACGAGUGUCUGAACCUGGCCAAGGUAUUAGGCAAACUCAACGCCGCGCGCAAAGCCCCCCCCCAGCCCCGCCUGUCAGGAGGGCGGCGGUCAUCCUGACCGGGCAUCGAGUGCCAAAGCAGGAGCCGGUCGAGGAACUAGUAGGGGAUAUCUUGACAAUAGCGAGAGGAGGCGCGGACCCAUGGGAGGGGCAUCGGUACGCCACUGACGUCGACCGAACAACCGAAGGGAAGUGCCCACGCCUGGAGGCAUAGAUCACGUUCACAGAGGCGGACAUGAAAGACGUCACGACCCCCCACGAUGACCCCGUGGUAGUAACCACCGUCUUCCGAAGGGGGGACAAGACCAAAGUACAAUUACACAGGGUCCUGGUGGAUACGGGGGCUUCGGUGGACAUCCUGUACUGAAACACCUUCAAUGACCUAGGCCUCGCCCGCACGGACCUACUCCCAAGUAGAGUGCCGAUUAGGGGAUUCGGGCAGUCAGAGGUUCCGAUGGCCGGCGUAAUAACAAUCUCGGUAACGCUAGGACGCCACGCCCAAGAGAAGACGGUGGAAGUCAGCUUUACGGUGGUGAAUUUCACCUCGGGCUACAAUGCCAUCCUGGGAAAAUCAGCGUUGCACGCAUUACAGGCGGUGAUGUCGUCCCUCCACCAGUGCUUAAAAUUCCCAACCAAGUCGGGCAUGUGCACGGUGAGGGGGUCCCAGAAGAAGGCCCGCGAAUGCUACUUUAACUCGGUAGGGGAGAUGAUGACCUCGAACGAGGGGUUGCCGCACGCUUUACGAGAGGAGCCCCCGAAGCCGGAGCUGGCGUCAACCACGGUGCUUCUACCCCUCGCCCGGAGCGAGGUACGCGUGGGAAAAGGCCUCCCAGGGGAGUUGGAGAGGAGCCUGGAGACCCUCCUCAGGAGGCAUGAAGACUUAUUCACGGCCGAAUUAGGAGAACUGGGGGGGGGUAAGCCGGACGACAGCAGAUCACAAGCUCGCGGUCGCCGCGGAGACGUGGCCGGUCCGACAAAAGCUACGACCACUAAGGGCGGAGAAAAGAGACGCGGCCGAAGCCGAGGUCACGAAACUCCUUGACGCGGGUUUCAUCCGGCCGGUGCGAUACCCGCAGUGGAUGUCCAAUGUCGUGAUGGUCAGGAAGGCGGACGGACGUUGGCGCAUGUGCGUCAACUUCACGAACCUCAACAAGGCGUGCCCCAAAGAUAGCUACCCGCUACCGUCGGUCGACAAUCUAGUGGACCUGAACUCAGGCUGCGAAAUGCUGAGCUUCAUGGAUGCGCAUUCGAGGUACAACCAGGUCCCUAUGGCCUGGGCGAACGAGGAGAAGACCUCGUUCAUCACUGACCUGGACACAUUCUGCUUCAAAGUCAUGCCGUUCGGCCUAAGGAACGCGGGAGCCACCUUCCAAAGACUAAUGGAUAAAGUCUUCGAGGAACAGAUCGGCAGGAACGUAGAAGUGUACGUCAACGACAUCCUGGUCCGGUCAAAAAGGGAAGAGACACACCUGGCCGACCUGGAAGAGACGUUCUGCAACAUCAGGAAGGCUGGCCUGAAGCUAAAAGCAAAGAAGUGUGCGUUCGGAGUAAACAAAGGCCACUUCCUGGGUUUCAGGAUCACUCCGGAGGGCAUCAAGCCCAGAGAGGAGAAAGUAGAGGCCGUCAUGGGAAUGACCCCGCCACGGACCAUAAAGGAGGUCCAAAAGUUGAACGGUAGGGUGGCAGCCCUCAGCCGAUUCCUACCGAGAGCUGCCGACCGGCUGCGCCCGUUUUUUCAGCUACUGAAGUCACCCGGCCCGAGAGUGGUGUGGUCCGUCGACUGCGAGGUGGCAUUCGGAGAGCUAAAAAGACAACUGGCGCACUUGCCAACGCUCCGCCCGCCCAUCAAAAGCGAGCCACUCACAAUGUAUGUCGCCUACUCGGACGCAGCUGUCAGCGCGGUACUCCUGACAAAGGCGGACAGAGUACAAAGGCCGGUGUAUUAUUACUCCCGGUCGCUGCAAGGAGCAGAGGAAAGGUACCCGGAUAUCGAGAAGCUUGCCCUAGCGGUGGUCUCGGCGGUCCGAAAGCUGAAUCCGUACUUCCAUGCACACACGGUAACCAUCCCAACGGCAUACCCACUGCUUCUGCUCCUUCAGAAAUCAUACGUCUUCGGACGCCUCACGAAGUGGGCCAUGGAACUCAGCGAGUUCCACAUAGAGAUCGUCCUAGCCAAGGCAAUCAAAGGACAGGUCGUAGCUGAUAUUAUGGCCGACCUAACACCCUGGAGGCGGACCCCAACGGGGGAGAAAUGGUGGACGGUCCACGUCGAAGGCUCGGCCAGCAACACAGGCUGUGGAGCCGGAGUAGUGAUAAGGGCCCCAACAGGGGAGAGGAUCGAGUAUUCGAUACACUUCGGCUUCCGGGCGACCAACAACGCAGCCGAGUACGAGGCCUUCUUAGCCGAAAUAAGGUUGGCCGCAGCCUUCGGGGCAGAAAAAGUCCACCUCCACACGGACUCCCGAUUGGUGGCAAACCAAGUAAGGGGCGAAUUCAUGUCCAAAGAGGAUUCAAUGUCGACCUACGUGGCGGAGGCCCGAACAGACCUAGGUCGACUCGACGAAUGGAGAAUCACCCAGAUUGAGAGAGAGAGCAACGGGGAGGCGGACACGUUGGCCAAGAUAGGGGCGUCCCCAGGAAGGCCAUAGGGCAGAUGGGUUCGGAUCGAAAACCAGGAACACCCGACGAGGUCCGGAGGACCCGGCGGGCCGACCUGCGCCUUAAUAGCCGCAGGUGACUGGAGGACGCCCAUCCUGAGAUUCCUCGAGUCAGGAGAAAGCCCGACGGAUCCGAUGGAGGCCAGGAAGCUGAGAAACUGGGCGGCGUGGUUCGUGGCUGCCCGAGGCAAGUUGUACCGCCGCUCAACCGCAGAGGAGGCCCCGCUAAGACUAUGUGUCGUCCGCGAGGACGGUCGCGCCAUCGCACGGAGCAUCCACGAGGGAGCCAACGGGGCCCAUCAGGGCGGCCGGGUCUUAGAGAAGCAAAUAGCCAGACAAGGCUAUUACUGGCCCGAGUCAAUAAAGGACUCUGAGGCGGUGGUAAGCAGAUGCGACAUGUGCCAGCGGCAUUCGAACGUCCAGAGACGGUCGUCCAUCAUGAUGAAGGCAGUAACCACACCCGUCUCCUUCGCACGGUGGGGCAUUGACAUCGCGGGGUCCUUCCCCCCGGCCUCACGGGGAAGAAAGUUCCUCUUCGUGGCAGUGGACUACUUCACAAAAUGGGCAGAGGCGGAGGCCACAAGCGUUAUCACGGAGCAGAACGUGGUCAAUUUCGUUUUUAGAAGCAGAGUGUGCCGCUUCGGGGUCCCCAUCCAGAUAAUAACGGACAACGGGAAGAAAGCUACGGGAGUUCUGCGAGGACAGCGGGAUUAAGCUGAGCUUCGCCCCGGUUUACCACCUGUAGGCAAACGGACAAGUGGAAGUAACCAACCGUACCAUCGUGUCCAUCCUGAAGAGGAAGGUGGCGAGUACUCAGGGACAUGGGCGGACAAGAUCCCAGAAACCAUGUGGGACUACCGAACAACAAUCUGGACGCCGACGAGACAGACCCCUUUCGCCCUCGCCUUCGGAUUAGAGGCAGUGGCUCCCGUAGAGUUGAAUGGCCAACGGCCAGGAUAGAGCAAUUCCAACCAGGCGCAAAUGACAAGGCGAUGGUCCUAACGAGCGAAGACGUCGAGGAGCGAAGGGAGGAGGCCGUCGUCCGGGAUUUCGCAUAUAAACGAAGAGUGGCCAGAUACCACAACGAAAGAGUGGCAGAAAAAAACCUGGCAUUGGGGACCGGGGACCUAGUCCUGUGGAAUGCCAAGGUGACGAAAAGUAGACAGUGUUGUAUCUUUCCAUUUUCCCGAAUUUAUUCAAAGUAACCAAAAAUGUGACGAAAUCUGGCUGAGAAGUACUCACUCCCAAUGAAUACUAAAACUGGGGCACAACUCCGCGAGGCACCCGGGGGCCGCGUCAAAGAAGACCCCCCCCCCAGGCGCCACACGAAAAAAUGAGAGACGGAGGGGCCCGCUGUCAAAGGCAGACCGAGCGCACCGAAGGCCAAUAGGCCACUGAAGGACGCUCAGCCGGCCCAGGCCGCCCGACAAAAUGAACGAUAAGAAAGAAGCGGAAGCAAUAUAUACAAAAAAUAAAAUGUCUUGUUUUAUAGAAAAAAAGAAGGGAGGAAACACAAAAGAAAAAGAAGCGACAGUCAAGACGGCAGAGUAGACAGGAUAUAGUCCGGGAGGUCAGUCACCAAGUCCUCCUCAUCGCUCUCACCAACAUUAAGCGAAGGCUGCACGACAGGAGACCCGGCCCCAUCCACCGCGCUCCAUCAUUCCCACUCCAGCGAGGUCCGGGGGAUGACACGAGCAGCCAGAUCGGGGCAGGCAAGUUUGCACAUAGCGCGACAAUGCUCAUAGCCUUUCCAAAACCCGGCGCGCUUCUCGACCGACAUCCGAAGCGAAGAAUCUUCCUGGAAUUCAGAAAACUUAGCUUGGAACUUGGCGGACAUAGAAGCAAGCGACUCGGGGCGGUCGGCGGACAGCUUGUUAGCGCGCUCGGUCUCCCGGGCAAGUCCGGCCUAGGUCUCGGCAGCUCGACGCUCGGCCCACUCCCACUGAGACUUAAAGUGAUCAACCAUUUUUUGUCUCUCGGAGGACUCCAGCUCCAACGCGGUCUUCUCAGUGGACGCGGCCUCCAGCUCCAACCGGUAGGCCUCCGCAUCCUUCGACGCUUCCUUCACGGCCUGGUCGCGGGCGGCUAAUGCAUCAAGACGCUCCUCGGUCAAGCGAGCAACCUGGGCGACGAGUCGGCUAAACUCCUCACACUGGUCAAGGCUCCGUUGAUGGCGCACGUAAGCAAGGACAGUACCACGCAGACUGUCAACGUAGAGAUCCCGAUCGAACGAUAUCAUGUCGAACGCGAAAAGAUCCACGUACUCCGGCUCCUCCUGAAGGAAGGGUUGAAGAAGGUUGAGACUUUUGAGGACCAUCCCGGCCAUUUGGGGAACGGAGGACAAGGGAUGGACGUGCGCAGGUUCGGCGGAAAAUUUGCCCGCAACAAGAGCGGCAUCGAAGGCCACGGAGAAGGCCUGGCGGUCCAACACCUGCGCGUCUUCCGUGUCGAUCUUGCGGCGGAGCCCAGACCCUUCGACCACCUCCUUCUUGCACCGCUCUGAGCGCGCAUUACGGAGAGACCCCUUGCACAAGUUGUCAUCCCCAGAGUUGGCAGUGCUUGGGCCUCGAGAGGGAGUAUCCUCCAGAUGAAUAAUAGAGGACGGUGCCUUGCAUUUCUUGGUCCGGAGAGAAGAAGAAGCCCCACCGUCAGGACUACGAGCGUCAUCAGGCCUCAGAUGCCCCGACACAGACCAAUCAUGUUUGAAGCCGCUGGGGCUCACGGGGCCGCGGUUAUGAAUCCGGACGAGCAGGUCAUUCGCCUCCCGCUCGGUAGGGGUCAAGCGUUUCUGAGGGACAACGCCGGUGAGGCUCUUCAGGGUAUCAAGCGGCAGCCACCGAGAGGGGGGAUGACGAGAUCCCCGAGGUAGGAGAUGUCCACAAAAAAGAAUUGAUCGCGCCAAGAAUGAGCCCGGUCCGGCAGGGUCACAAAAAGAGUGCGCCGAGAGGCAAUGAGGACGCGGUUUUGGUCGGUGUUCGGGGGUAAACGUGGAACCAGUUGAAAAACAGGGACACGGUGGGUUCAAUGCCACACUUCUAGCAAAGGAGCUCGAAAUUUAGUAUACGCUCGACAGUCCCCGAGGGAAACUACGAGAGCGAGACCUGGCAGUGUUUGAGAAUCGCCUAAAACAGCGGCGAAAGAGGCAGUGUAAGGUCAAUGUCCACAUAGGGGAUAUAGAUAACAACUUGCCCAAGAGGCGGAUGCGAGGCGACAGUCUCCCCAGCCUGCCGGAAGUCAGGCUGACCUUUGUACUGAUACAUCUUCUUCAAGGCGACUAGACAAGCAGACGGUGAAGCCUUUGAGAGUGGGUUCUUCACAUCUGGGAGCGGGUUGAAGACGCCGUGAAGGAGCUCUUCGACGGUGGCAUUGGCAAGUUCGACCGAAUCAGCCAAGGCAGACCUGCGGAAAAGUGGAGGGUUUUUCUCGAGGUUUUAGUGGGAAGCAGAAAGCGGAGCAAAUGAGGAAAGUGAAGAAGAGAAAAGGGGGGGAAUAACACUUAUAGUAAGAAGGGCACAGAAGACGAAGAGUCGCAAGUACCUAGUAGCCACAGAGGCUGAGGGCCCAGAAAGACGGCCCAGUAAGGUACGGCCGGGGCGAGAGCCCAAUACGUCCGAAAAGAGAGCGUAUGACGAAACGCGACAUGAGCGACGGGGCCCUGGGGUCACAUCCGAUGGACAUCCGGGCCACUCGAGGUACGGUGCAACCGGGCUCGAAGGGUAGGCAGGGUCGUCCGACGAGGGAGCAGUAGAACGAAGCAACGGCGAGUGGGGGCGAGCACGAGGGAGAUUCCCCCAGGGCGACACCUCAACAGGGCCGACAGUAGGCCGGGGCGGGGGGGUUGGCCGGGGGAGGGCUGCGGAGCCGUAUCCACCCCACCCAGGGGCCGAAGGGUGUCGAGAGCUCGCUGAAAAGGGUCAGCCGACGAGCGAAGCUCGAGUAGGACGCGGGCCAGGUCGGCGGAGGACGAUGAGGGUAAAGCAACGGCAAGAGCUGAAGCACGAAAGAAAAUCACAUUCAAGAUUCCGAAGGAACUGCAAGUACCAAAAAAAGUAUUAAGUGUCAAGUUCUAUUACAAACCCGGAGGCGCUACUAAGUUACAGCAAAAGCCACAAGAAAGAUGCCCUAUGCUACAAAAAAAAACUAAACGUGCACUAAAGAAGGAAUACGCCGGAGUAAGUCGGGGGAACCACACGACCUCCCUUCAGACAAGCGCCUGAGGGGGUAGAGGAGGAGGUAACCCCAGACGGCGCACCUGUGAGGGUCAACAGACCCAGUGACCGGGCGAAAGAAGCCCCAGCACCCGGUGCAUACGGAGACCUAAUAGCCAGUCUUAGGCGGUCCCGACAAGAAGUGUCGCAAGUCAGUAGCAGGGAGGGACGAGGACCCACGUGAGCCACGACGACCGCGGGAGCGGUGACGAAGACCACCUCCGACACCCGGAGCGACAGUAGCCGCACCGUGCAAAGAGCAGCAGAAGCUCGAGAUCACGACACCAGCAGCGGCAACAACAGCAGAAGCAGCUGGCAUACCAGAAGAGGAAGGAGCAAGACGGCGGUGAAUGUCAAUCAGGACAGAAUUAAGCCGAUGGCUCUCCGACACUGCAACAGAGUGGAAGGCCCCAGCAAGCAAAAGCAGGCACUCAGUCCAAACAGAGUGUUGAAGCUUCACCUCGCGACCGAACUCCUCCAGAAGGUCUUGGACGGCCAUUGAAUUUUUUCUGUUUUAUGAAGAAAGAAGAGGAGAAGGAAGAAUCUUUAUAGAGAAAACACGUGAAGGGGGAUGGCGCAGAACACGAGAUGUUAUAAAGGAAGUUAGGUGGGCGGCCUGUUGGCCCCCCGGCCCGAGAGGGGGGGAGUACUGUUGGUACCAGGACCCGCCCAGACGGACCUCGGACCGAACAGGCCUGCCAGGCCCAAUGAGGUAGGCUAUAAAUAUUUCCCCAAGUGCAACGGGGAAAGGUGUUGAUAAUUAGAGAAGUCGACAUCAGAAAGUUGUGUAUGUGAGCCCCUAACGUGAGCCCACACACCAUCACAACGGUUAACCUAACUCCGCCCCUCUUCUUCAUACCCCACUGCUGCCGUCAUCUCCGGUGCUAAAGGUGAAGAGAAAUUAACUCCGGUUAAUAUGACCUUAAACUAAUUUGAAGAGGAAUAUUGAAUUAAUAUUAUUAUAGACUAAUUAUACUUAUUCUACUUAUGAUUCUAGAAUAACGUCAAUAAUGUGCAAUUUAUCAUUCGAUCAAUUACCGGCCGUCGUCGUUGAAUUAUGAUUACGGCAUAUCCGGUCGGCCGGCAAUGGUCAUAUUUAGUAGAAGGGAAGGAAGCAAGAACACAAAUCCUAACCGUAAUCAUAACUCGCCGUCGUCGUGAACCACAAUUCCCGUGUUUUCUGAGUGGACGAGCGGCCUAAAUAAACCUGCUUUAUCUCAUUGUUUCUAAUUUUGGAAACGGGUUGGAGACAAAAUUGAUGGUGGCCCACAAAUUUUUUUUAUUCAUGAUUCAGUAAUUGGUCGGGACAGAUCACAGAUCUACAUUAAUAGUCGAAUG
rnacentral:lncRNA from 1 species